AAAGUUCCCUUCGGGGGGCGAGUAGAGUGGCGUCCGGGUGAGUAACACGUAGGUAAUCUACCUUUGGGUGGGGAAUAACAAUCGGAAACGGUUGCUAAUACCGCAUAAUGCAGCGGCACCGCAUGGUGACAGUUGUUAAAGCGGGGGAUCGCAAGACCUCGCGCCUAAAGAGGAGCCUGUGGCGGAUUAGCUAGUUGGCAGGGUAACGGCCUACCAAGGCAACGAUCCGUAGCCGGCCUGAGAGGGCGGUCGGCCACACUGACACUGAAAUACGGGUCAGACUCCUACGGGAGGCAGCAGUCGGGAAUUUUGGGCAAUGGGCGCAAGCCUGACCCAGCAACGCCGCGUGAAGGAUGAAAUCCCUCGGGAUGUAAACUUCGCAAGAACGGGAAGAAUAAGUGGGGGCAAAUACCCUCCAUGAUGACGGUACCGUUUGUAAGCUCCGGCUAACUCCGUGCCAGCAGCCGCGGUAAUACGGGGGGAGCAAGCGUUGUUCGGAUUUACUGGGCGUAAAGGGCGCGUAGGCGGUCAGUGCAAGUCAGUUGUGAAAUCUCCGGGCUUAACUCGGAAAGGUCAACUGAUACUGCUCGACUAGAGUGCGGAAGGGGCAACUGGAAUUCUUGGUGUAGCGGUGAAAUGCGUAGAUAUCAAGAGGAACACCUGCGGCGAAGGCGGGUUGCUGGGCCGACACUGACGCUGAAGUGCGAAAGCUAGGGGAGCGAACGGGAUUAGAUACCCCGGUAGUCCUAGCCUUAAACGAUGAAUGCUUGGUGUCUGGGGUUAUAAAGUCCCCGGGUGCCGUCGCUAACGCUUUAAGCAUU
rnacentral:rRNA from 1 species